GGGUGCUCGAGUGGCUAACGGGUGAGUAACACGUGAGUAACCUGCCCUUGACUUUGGGAUAACUUCAGGAAACUGGGGCUAAUACCGGAUAGGAGCUCCUGCUGCAUGGUGGGGGUUGGAAAGUUUCGGCGGUUGGGGAUGGACUCGCGGCUUAUCAGCUUGUUGGUGGGGUAGUGGCUUACCAAGGCUUUGACGGGUAGCCGGCCUGAGAGGGUGACCGGCCACAUUGGGACUGAGAUACGGCCCAG
rnacentral:rRNA from 1 species